GAUGAACGCUGGCGGCGUGCUUAACACAUGCAAGUCGAACGAAACACCUUAUUUGAUUUUCUUCGGAACUGAAGAUUUGGUGAUUGAGUGGCGGACGGGUGAGUAACGCGUGGGUAACCUACCCUGUACAGGGGGAUAACAGUCAGAAAUGACUGCUAAUACCGCAUAAGACCACAGCACCGCAUGGUGCAGGGGUAAAAACUCUGGUGGUACAGGAUGGACCCGCGUCUGAUUAGCUGGUUGGUGAGGUAACGGCUCACCAAGGCGACGAUCAGUAGCCGGCUUGAGAGAGUGAACGGCCACAUUGGGACUGAGACACGGCCCAAACUCCUACGGGAGGCAGCAGUGGGGAAUAUUGCACAAUGGGGGAAACCCUGAUGCAGCGACGCCGCGUGAGUGAAGAAGUAUCUCGGUAUGUAAAGCUCUAUCAGCAGGGAAGAAAAUGACGGUACCUGACUAAGAAG
rnacentral:rRNA from 1 species